AUGAACGCUGGCGGCGUGCCUAAUCCCUGCAAGUCGAGCGGACAGACGAGGAGCUUGCUCCUCUGACGUUAGCGGCGGACGGGUGAGUAACACGUGGAUAACCUACCUAUAAGACUGGGAUAACUUCGGGAAACCGGAGCUAAUACCGGAUAAUAUAUUGAACCGCAUGGUUCAAUAGUGAAAGACGGUUUUGCUGUCACUUAUAGAUGGAUCCGCGCCGCAUUAGCUAGUUGGUAAGGUAACGGCUUACCAAGGCAACGAUGCGUAGCCGACCUGAGAGGGUGAUCGGCCACACUGGAACGGGGCCACGGUCCAGGCUCCUACGGGAGGCAGCAGUAGGGAAUCUUCCGCAAUGGGCGAAAGCCUGACGGAGCAACGCCGCGUGAGUGAUGAAGGUCUUCGGAUCGUAAAACUCUGUUAUUAGGGAAGAACAAAUGUGUAAGUAACUAUGCACGUCUUGACGGUACCUAAUCAGAAAGCCACGGCUAACUACGUG
rnacentral:rRNA from 1 species